UGUUUUCCGUUAACUCACGUCCUUGUUUCAGACAUUUGUACUUUCAGAUUACAGACAUUGUCUCACACACUCUUCAAGUUUCAGAUACGUGUGCGACAUCGUGAAGGGACUAUAUACUCUCAAGGACUGAAACUUGUUUGGUGGCUCUAUGAUUAUCAUAACGGGUCCAAGCUUUUUGUAGUUAGAAUUGCUUCAUCACUGGUCCUUGCUGUUCUUCAGUUGGACAAGGAGCUUUUGCUGAACAUGGUCCUUUCAAGCCUACAAGAAAAGACCAUCUAAUGAAAAACCAACUUGCACAGCAAAUCCUUCAAACCAAAUCCACCAAGAUUAGCUUGAAGAGGAUACCUGCAGGGUACAAAAUUGUUGUUGAUGGAUUGAAUCACCUGAUCUUAUAGUCGGUACACCCUCUUGAUUUUGCAGCAGACAAACUUGCUGCGAUUAUCGAUGACAGUUCUUUUGGAAUGAAGCAGGUGUUUCUUGCAUAAGUACUGUGACUUUUAUGGCCAGGUUUGACACUCGUUCUAAAUGUGGCAUUUUAUAUAUUAUUAAAUACUGGUGCAAUUCAGUCUCUUAUGUGCUUAAUUCUAUCUCAUGAUUUCUUGUCUUAUUUGAGGAAACAUGUGCUGGAAAAUCAUCAGGUUUCCAACAUGUUGUGAUAUGGUUUAUAAUCAAUAUUUUAUGGGAACGAUGAUGGGAUGCCAAUUUUUUCAUUCUUGAUCCUUCACUUUCAAAUUUUUUCAAUCUUCUGCUUGAAAUAAAUUGAACUUUCAAUUUUCUAAAUGAAAAUUUAACAGGGAAUACAAAACCCUAUAAUACUGUGACCGUUGGAAUCGAUCAAUAUACUUUGUUUUUUAAAUCUGACAGUUGCCGUUGUCAUUUAUGUUCCAUUUUCUCAUUAUUGAUUACUCAAGAACAUUCAAUGUUGUGCUAGAGAAAAAAAGAACCUUACCCAAGACCUUGUUUGGCACCAAUGUAUUUUGAACGUCAUUAUAUAUAUUUUUUUAAUUUGUUGCUGGUAAUUUUAGGAUUUUCAUUCUGACAUAUUGGUUUACAGUUGAUACAAGUUUCGAUACAGUUUUCUUUUUGUUGUACACGUGAUAGUGAGUUUUUUAUUCUUGAUAAUUCAAGAACAUUCAAUCUUUUGCAUGAAAAAAAAACUUUAAUUGAGUAAACAUGUUGUGUCCUAAGACCCUGUUUGGCACAAAUAUUUGAAAGAUAAUUGUUUGUUUGCUACGAUGAUGGAGUUUUGCAUCUUUUUGAAAUGUUCAUUCCAACAUAUUUGUCCACUGUGGUUUAUAAUCAAUAUUUAUCGGGAAGGAUGAUGAGAUGCCAAUUUUCUCAUUUUUGAUUAUUCAAGAUUUUUCAAUCUUCUGCUGGAAAUACAGUGAACUUUCAAUUUACUAAAUCAAAUUUAACUGGGAAUACAAAACCCUAAUCACUUUGAGAUGAAAUCUUUUUUCAUUAAUUGAAAAAGGGGUGAAAAGGGUUAGAUGGAUAUACUUUGUUUUUAAAAUUUUCUUAGGGAUGCAUGGAUGUCUCGAUGACCUUCGAGUAAACUGCAUUUUGAACUCUAUUCAUAAUGCAAAAGUUGGAUGAUGGCCUUCAAUGCAAUAUUCAUACGAAAUUGUAAUCAUAUGAUUUAAGGGAUGGUAUCUAUUGUCCUUUUAUGACCCUAAUUGUGAAACUGUUGUUGGGAUGAAAUAUUUUAAUAUUGGAUGAUACAUGAGCCAACUAUGGCCCAAAAAUGUUGGAUGAUUCCUUAAUGUGAAAGCUAGUUGUUGCCUAAAAUGCAAUUUUAAUAUUAAAUUUUAUUCAUAAUUUAAGGCGUGGAUGAUAUGUAUUGUUGUUGACCCUAGUCCCUAAAUGCAAUUUGCAACAACAAUAUGAAGUGAUUUUGCAAAUGCAAUGCGACUUGUGUUGGAUUAUCCUACUGGUAACGGUUUCGAAGGAAUGGGGAAGGAAUUGUAAAUGUGUUCAGUACUCAGUGCUAACUUUUCCAAUUGGGAUGGACAUUGGAAUUACCCUAUUUGUUAUUGUUGGAUGGUCUUAGCUGCAUUUGGGCAGUAUCAAAUUCUCAGUGAGAUCACAAGGGAGGUUAUUUCCAGAAAGCAUUAUAUGGUGGACAAUGUAUUUGUCAUAUGUUUUUGACUGCAGACUUAUUAUGAAAGCCUAAUCUGAUAAAAUGAUUGUGUAUGAUUGGAUAAAAUUUGGUGGAUGCUGGUGUAACAAUCAGAUACCCUUAGAUUUGUGUUGAUAAUUGUAAAUGCAAGUCUUGGAUUUAGUAAUUGAAUACAUGUGAACUUUUAUAAGGUGGUGCAACAUAUAUAUUUGUUAUGAUGACCUUUCUUUCGGACAAUCUUUAAUAUGACUGUAUGACAUUUUCUUGCAAUUGUACUGUGACUUACGGCUAUGCUAGACACUCCUUAUUGCAUAAUUAUUGGGAAAAUCUACAUUCUUUUAUUAGCUUAGGUUUCAUCUCUCAAAUUAAUGAUAGAGGUGUAUGCUAAUUUUUUAAAAUCACAAUGUUUAAAUUGUCUGCAUAGAUUGGAGAUGAGAAUGUGAUUGUACUGUCUUUUAUUGUAGCUCGAUUUUCUCUUUGAUUAUUCAUGGACACAAGGAUAGAUUCGAAGUUCACAAAGACCAUAUUGUUUAAGUAGAUUCUUAUAUAUAUAGAAGCUUUGUUCAGCAGUAGUGCACUACUGUAAUAUAGAGAAGCUAUAUUUCCAAGGGUUUUUUGAAGUUGACCUGUUCAACCACAGUGUUUUCCAUAUUGUUGAAUGUAUGCUCUAAGGUAAGUUCAAACUUUCUUGAAUAAUGCUUGAAAAGAUUGUUCUUGUUGAGCCAGCAUUGUGGGGCUAUAUAGUUAUGGAGACUAUGCCAUCAUAUGAGUCUUGAGAGAAAAUGAUACUAGCAGCAUUCAUGGCAGCAUUGUGGGGCUAUAUAGUUAUUGUGCUCUAUUGUUGUAUCCAUUCAAGACUAGAAGUUAAGGUAGUAUUCUGCUCUAGUUUGAUUAGAAUGGAUGUAAUGAUGUACAGCGACUGGACCAGAUAUCAUUGGACAAACUAAGACCUGAAUUUCAAAGAGAGCUUAAUGCAUUGAUAACUUUCGUUUUGGAGAGAACAAAGCCAAAGCAAGUUGGUAUCACUGAAUCCUAUCUUGAUGCACUCAACCAUGGUUACACCAUUUAACAAACCGCUAUUGUUCUAUGAGUGUUGAAGAAGCAGAGUGUUGUGUAGGGCUUAUGAUUCGGCUACUGAAGUUUAUAUGGCUUCUUUUGACCGUUCCAAGCCACCUGGGGAAGUUGCUUUGAGGGAAGCUCAUGAACAAGCAGUUCAAAAGGCAAUGGCUGCUUUUAAUGCUAGUGCUGUAGGAGUUGGUACAGCUAGGAAGAAAUAUGACGGUCUACUUCAGAAAUUCCUCAAAAAGGCUUUUGAGGAUUACAAAAGGAAUGCAUUCACGGAGGCAGAUGUAAAUUGGAAAUCACAAUUUUACCUGUUGUAUUUUAAUGUCUUCUUUUUGGCUUCUAUUUUUCAAAGACAAACCUCCCCUGUUUAUUGAAGUUCCCCCUUCUGCACAUAUUUUUCUUAAUAGUAUGUCAGUUCAUUGAUCUGUAUUAUAUCUCAAUGACCUUCGAGGAAAAUGCAUAUUGAACUCUAUUCAUAAUGCAAAAGUUGGAUGAUGGCCUUCGAUGCAAUUUUCAUACGAUAUUGUAAUCAUAUGAUUUAAGGGAUGGUAAUGGUAUCUAUUGUCCUUUUAUAACCCUAAUUGUGAAACUGUCAGCUGAGAUGAAAUAUUUUUUCAUUAUCUAUGAACGGUGGUGUGGUAUACAUGAGCCCUCCAUGACCCAAAAACGUUGGAUGAUGCCUUAAUGCGAAAGCUAGUUGUUGCCCAAUUUGUAACAACAAUAUACAGUGAUUUUGCAAAUGCAAAAUGCAAUGUGACUUGUGUUGGAUUAGCCUACUGGGUAACAGUUUCAAAGGAAUUCUCUAAGGAAGAAACGAAUCAACUGAAGCGAGAUAACAAAGAAACGGACUCAACUGAACUAUUUCUUAUAGAAUCUAUCUCGUAUAUAUGGCUUUAUGCUGACCACCUAUAUAAGGAUGCUUGCAUAAUUGCAUUGUGUGAUCGAUGAAGGAAACCACAACGAGGUUGUAUCGGUCCAUAUUUUUACUGUAGACCUUUUAUGAAAAUCUGAUAAAAUUUGAUGGAUGUUGGUAUAAGAAUCAAAUAGCACUAGAUUUGUGUUGAUAAUUAUAAAUGCAAGUCUUUGAUUUAGUAAUUGAAUAUAUGUGAUCUCUUAUAGGCUGGGUACAAAAUUGUUGUUCAUGAAUUGAAUCACUUGAUCCUAUAGUCGGUACACCCUCUUGAUUUUGCAGCAGACAAACUUGCUGCGAUGACCGAUGACAAUUCUUUCGGAAUGUGGCAGGUGUUUCUUGCAUAAGUACUGUGACUUUUGUGGCCAGACACUGAGGAUUGGCAUACAUAGGAUUGGUGUUCGUGGCAGAAUGUCAUCCUUUCUUUAUAGUUGAAUACGCACUCUGUCCCAAGAGCCUACUCAGCACUGAUGUUUUGAAACUGAAAGAUACUAUUUGUUUCGGUUUGAUACGGUAAUUUUUGAAUUUUCAUUCCAACUUAUCUGCAUUGAUUCAUGUUGCGAUACACAUUUUCUCUUUCAUGACUAUUCGAAAACAUUCAAUCUUCUGCUUGAGAAAAACAACAACCUUAAUUGAGCAAACAUGUUAUGUCCCAACUCCCAAGACCGUUUGU